rnacentral:tRNA from 1 species
GGAUAUAGCUCAGUUGGUAGAGUGCUUGGCUUGCAUGUACAAGUCCCUCGGUUUGAUCCCCAGCACCA